UGGCACCAACUACAAGCCAGGCAGUCUAGUAGAGUCCCAGCUUGAGUUUCUCAAACUGGACUUUUACUUCAAUGGCUGCAUGGCUUCUUAGCGGUGCCAGAGCAUAAUAAAGCCCUGAUUUUAAGCUUCUCAGUGGGGAGGAACACUGUUGAGUUAUGGCUCAGAGGCACAGUC